CCUACGGGAGGCAGCAGUAGGGAAUCUUCCGCAAUGGACGAAAGUCUGACGGAGCAACGCCGCGUGAGUGAUGAAGGCUUUCGGGUCGUAAAACUCUGUUGUUAGGGAAGAACAGGUGCUAGUUGAAUAAGCUGGCACCUUGACGGUACCUAACCAGAAAGCCACGGCUAACUACGUGCCAGCAGCCGCGGUAAU
rnacentral:rRNA from 1 species